rnacentral:lncRNA from 1 species
CCCAAAUGUUUUUGAUUUGGGUUUCAGCCAUCCAUAAUCUCUUAGGUCAUGUAUGACUCACCAUGGUUUAUGACACACUGUGUGAGUCAGGUUAAUGAAUCAGGUCAGAAACGUCUGGUGACGUCAGCAGCAGCACCUGUUGACAACAUCAACUGCUAAUGAGGUAUACAAAUGUUUUCGAGGUCUUCUCCGGCGGUACAAAGUAUUCCGGCUUCGUGCCCUUGGAAACAAACGAGUUCUCUUGA